CAGGUGAGGCCAUACCACUCAGGCUGAUCAAUCAAAGUACAUGCACAGGACCUAGGCAGAGCCACUCAGAAUCUCCACUGUGACUGAUGCAUGGAAAUUGGAAGGGAGAUGAUGCUGCCUGCAUGUAAUGGGCCCUCAGAGAAUGUUUGUGGGAUGAGUGAAUUGAUGGACACUGAAUUGGAAACUACAUUGCAUUCACCUCAUUACAGCUCUACCUUCAGCACCACGGAGCUGUCCACAGCACUCUCUGGAACUGGAGAGUACGGUCAGAAUUUCAACUUAAAUAUGGAUUGUCUGCAGACUUAAAAAAAAAUUUCAAGAGUAUUUUCUGAUUGCUCUAACCUAGAAGUAGGCUCUUUUCAUAUGUUUUAUUUAUUCCUCACUCAUUUAUUGUUUCAUCAACAAAACUUUAUGCAACUUUAUGCUAAGAAUAUAUCGAUUGUCCUCAAAGAGUCUAUAGAUUUCCAAAAGUAAAACUAAAAUUAAAGAUCCCAGCACAUUUCUAGGUACAUAGUGACCACCGCAUGGAAACAGAAACACAUGAUAUUAAAGGUGGAAAAACCAUUAUAAAUAAUUAAACACCACACUCAGCACCUCAUUCCACCUUCCCCACAGUAUAUUUAUUUAUACAUGCAGAAACUGAUACCUUGUGCCUUUCUCAAAGCCAUACCUCUAAUUUGUUAAUUUUCACUUUAUCUUAUUUUUAUUUUUUAUUUUUAAAUCAACAAAUAAUAAUCGUAUUUAUUCAUGGGGUAUGUAGUGAGAUUUCAUUAUACAUAAUGUGUCGUGAGCAGAUCAGGGUAAUUAGCAUAUCCAUCAUCUCAAACACUUAUCAUUUCUUUGUAUUGGCAAUGUUCAAAAUCCUCCUUCUAACUAUUCAAAACUUUAUAAUAUAUUAUUUCUAACUAUAGUCAUUCUAUAGUGGUAUGGAACAUUAGACGUAUUUCUCCUAUCUAGUUGUAAUUGUGUAUCCUUUAACAAAUUUCUCCCUAUCCCCCACACUCCUGUUAUUUGUUUUUUAACAAAUUCCAUGUGCCUAUAUUCAGUAUUAAAAAAUUUCUGUCCUUGGAGUUCUGAAAGUGGAUAAAAGUCCUUUCUGAUUUUCCCUUUCAUCAAGAGCCCCCUGCACCUCUUCCAUGGAUCUACAUGCUCCUUCUCCUCCAUCUUCUCCUGAGAUGGCCUGUGGCUGGGUUCAAGGCCAUGCCACCAUCCCUUUCUCCUUUUCAUAUAUUCCUUGCUCUCCUGGUCUCUCAGAUUCGACUGGCUGCAGAACUGACUCAGAAUUUCAAUCAUAUACAUCACAUGGUAGUCACCAGCUCCAGGAACCCCUCUGGGGUGGACAUUUUACAGAUUGCCUCUGAGAAGUCAGGAUUCUCCUGCCAGAAUAUUCUGUCCUCCUCCCCAUCACCUUUGGAUAUAGAAUGUAUUCACCAUUCUCCUCCUCCUUGCUUAGAACAGAAUAACACCUCCAUCCUCCUAUAGUUCAUGCCAUCCAGUGGGGGAUGUUAUUCAGAUAUGAGACUUUUAUCUGACCCUCAGAAAGGGAGACAGGAAUUACCUGGCAGGGUCAAACAAAUGGGAAUCCCAGUCAUAUUUUCAAGACUGCCUCUUACACAUAGAAACCACCCAUUAUUCUUCACUCAAGCACCCCCAGGCUUGUAUGGCUAGAACCCUCUCCUUUUAAUAAAUACAUCAGCCCACAUUCCUCUGUCCAUUUUUGGCAAAGGCUUCCUGAAGGAGGGCUAUGCUUGGAGAAGAAGGGAAGUAUGUGUAUGUUUGUUAGUUAGCUUAUCGCUUGCUGUCUCCUCCUCCAGACCAUAAACUCCAUGACGACAGAAGCUAAGCCUGUUUUGCUCACAUUGUUUACUCGGCACCUGACACAUAGCAAGUGUUCAUUUAAUACAUGUUGAAUGAAGACAUACACAAAAAACAAAGAAGAGAGAAACCAGAAAGGCAGGCAGAGGAGAGGCAUUUUCCAGCUCUUAUGCCUCUGUCUUGUAGCUAAUGCAAUGGGAUGGAUGAGAGGGCAGCCUCUCCCUGGAGACUUGUUCGAGGGGCUCACAUGCUCCCCCCAAAACCCAAAGGCCAGGGUUGCUCCCUGUGAUUUCUGAUCCAAGGCUGACAUUAGUCCUCAAGGAAGACACAAUGGACAGCUGACUCUCUCUCCUUAUCUUUGUCCAAUCAUCUGUAACUGUGACAGAUGGUGGCCAGGGAAAGCAGAGGCAGUCAAAAGACCAAGGCAGAGAGAAAGGAACUGCCUUGGGACUUCAGAAUCAGGUUACUUUGUUGUUGUUGUUGUUGAGAUGGAGUCUCACUCUGUUGCCCAGGCUGGAGUGCAGUGAUGCCAUCUCAGCUCACUGCAACCUCCACCCCCAGGGAUUCAAGCAAGUCUCCUGUCUCAGCCUCCUGAGUAGCUGGGACUAUAGGUGCAUGCCAUCACGCCUGGCCA
rnacentral:lncRNA from 10 species